rnacentral:rRNA from 1 species
UACGUAGGGCGCAAGCGUUGUCCGGAAUUAUUGGGCGUAAAGAGCUCGUAGGCGGUUUGUCGCGUCUGCUGUGAAAACCUAAGGCUCAACCUUGGGCUUGCAGUGGGUACGGGCAGACUAGAGUGCGGUAGGGGUGACUGGAAUUCCUGGUGUAGCGGUGGAAUGCGCAGAUAUCAGGAGGAACACCGAUGGCGAAGGCAGUUCUCUGGGCCGUAACUGACGCUGAGGAGCGAAAGCGUGGGGAGCGAACAGG